AUGAGAAGACAUCAGCAAGUGGAGAGAAAUGUACAGGCAAUCAAAAGAGAGUAUAGAAGAAUUUUGUUGGAAACUGAUGGUAGAGCAGAUAUGGAACAGGAUCACCAGGAGGGGAUGAUCCUUCAGUCACUAACUGUGAAUAAGACAGACCCAAAAAGCUGCAAGAGCAAUAAACACUGUAAUGAUGGUAAUACUAAACACAGCAGUUCCUGCAAAAUGCAGUUAAUCCUCGUCCAAUCUGUGCCAUUCACCCUGAAAUUAAUUCAGGCCUGA
rnacentral:lncRNA from 1 species